rnacentral:rRNA from 1 species
AACACGGACCAAGGAGUCUAGCAUGUGCGCGAGUCAUUGGGAAUCACUAAACCUAAAGGCGUAAUGAAAGUAAAGGUUCGCCUCGCGCGGACCUAGGGAAGACGGGCGGUUUACCGUUAAAAGUGACCGCUCCGCACUCCCGGGGCGUCUCGUUCUCAUCGCGAGAAGAGGCGCACCAAGAGCGUACACGCUGGGACCCGAAAGAUGGUGAACUAUGCCUGGUCAGGACGAAGUCAGGGGAAACCCUGAUGGAGGUCCGUAGCGAUUCUGACGUGCAAAUCGAUCGUCGGAACUGGGUAUAGGGGCGAAAGACUAAUCGAACCAUCUAGUAGCUGGUUCCCUCCGAAGUUUCCCUCAGGAUAGCUGGCGCUCGUUGCGUACGAGUCUCAUCCGGUAAAGCGAAUGAUUAGAGGCAUUGGGGUCGAAACGAUCUCAACCUAUUCUCAAACUUUAAAUGGGUGAGAUCUCCGGCUUGCUCGAACUUAUGAAGCCGCGAGACACGGAUCAGAGUGCCAAGUGGGCCAUUUUUGGUAAGCAGAACUGGCGCUGUGGGAUGAACCAAACGUCGAGUUAAAGCGCCAAAAUCGACGCUUAUGGGAUACCAUGAAAGGCGUUGGUAACUUAAGACAGCAGGACGGUGGCCAUGGAAGUCGGAAUCCGCUA